UGUCUUCAAGGAAUCAAAGAGCUAUCAGGAUCAGACAAAGUUGCUAAGAUAGUUGGCGCUACAGUAGGAGCUGGUGUUUCUGGUUUAAUUAUUGGCGUUUUGGUAGGCAGUGUCGUCAUGUUCCUUAGUCUGAGAAAAUUUGCGCAAGAUAACAGAAACAAUAACUUAAUGCUAUCAGCACUGGAUGAUACAUCACCUGCAGACGGUAAUCUGUGACACUUCUUUGUGUGAACUUAAAUUAAAUUUCUAUAUGGAUAUGAAACUUACGUUGGAGUGAUGCUGUAAUAGAAAGUGGCGCUGGCAUCUGGAGUAAUAGCCUCUCUACAUAUAUUGAUAAGUGAGAAGGUGAAUAUGAAGAUACGUACAAUUCAUCAGAGCUACAAAUAAGAGGCGGAUCCAAGUUUUUAUAGGAAUAUAAGCUUUGACA